CUCCAGCUGUCUGGGCCUUGUGAAGGGCUUCUGCUGAAACGGCGCUAACAGCUUCUGCUGGAAAAGCUCCAGCAAAUGAGCGUCACAAAACUCAGCAGGGAAGAUCAGCGAAUGAUUACUCCUUUACUCCAAUUUCAUUUCAGUCUUUUUGUCUUUUUCAUGCAGUGAUAUUUGUCAGUCGUGAAUCUCAAAUACAGUACUAUGGUGCGUAGAUUUGAAAAAAAAAGUUGCCUUUCCAAUUUGGUAGAAUUUAUUUUCACUGGUUUUUUUUUUGGACGCUGUUUUGAAAUCGACCGUUUCUCCUCCUUCAGAAAGCUGCUGAAGACAAACCAGCGCAAGACGAACCUGUAUUGAAUUAGACAAUGUUGCAAGAUCAGUUAAUGAAAUAUUGAUAAGAACAUUCCUUCAACACAUGCUGCAGCAGCUGUUCUGGUGCAGCAAUCCUCUUGAAGUAUACUACAAGAAACAACAACAGCUAAAGGCCUUAAAGAACAGUAAAUAAUUGAAUGCUUGUACUGCUAUUCUUCUGCAUACACUCUACAGUUUCAGGGUCUCAAUUUAUUUUAUUUUUCAAUCAUUUAGUAAAUUUGUGUGAUUUUUUUUUUUGAUAGACCAAACUGAGCUAAAAAUUCCCACCAGAUUUACAAAAAUUAUUCUCUCAUUCUUUGUACUUGCAUAUAUGUUUAGAAACUAUAUCAGCAAUAAAUGACCAAACUCAUUCGCAACACAGCUAAUUUACAUUUACAUGACAAAACUCCUUAUACAACAAAGCUCACAGAGAGCUUGACAAAAGGAUAUUAAACACUUGUGCGCUAAUACGUCCAAUAAUGCAGCUCAGCCACCGCAGCGAAUCAGCUACCAAAGACAUACACCAACGCUUCCCCCUUUUAUAGGGC
ensembl:lncRNA